rnacentral:rRNA from 1 species
UACGGGGGGGGCAAGCGUUGUUCGGAAUUACUGGGCGUAAAGGGCUCGUAGGUGGCCAACUAAGUCAGACGUGAAAUCCCUCAGCUUAACUGGGGAACUGCGUCUGAUACUGGAUGGCUUGAGUUUGGGAGAGGGAUGCGGAAUUCCAGGUGUAGCGGUGAAAUGCGUAGAUAUCUGGAGGAACACCGGUGGCGAAGGCGGCAUCCUGGGCCAGUACUGACGCUGAGGAGCGAAAGCGUGGGGAGCAAACAGG